rnacentral:rRNA from 1 species
AGUUUGAUCCUGGCUCAGGAUGAACGCUAGCUACAGGCUUAACACAUGCAAGUCGAGGGGCAGCAUUGGAGUAGCAAUACUUCAGAUGGCGACCGGCGCACGGGUGAGUAACACGUAUCCAACCUGCCGCUUACUCGGGGAUAGCCUUUCGAAAGAAAGGUUAAUACCCGAUGGUAUAAAGAGUUCGCAUGUUCUCUUUAUUAAAGAAUUUCGGUAAGCGAUGGGGAUGCGUUCCAUUAGAUUGUUGGCGGGGUAACGGCCCACCAAGUCUACGAUGGAUAGGGGUUCUGAGAGGAAGGUCCCCCACAUUGGAACUGAGACACGGUCCAAACUCCUACGGGAGGCAGCAGUGAGGAAUAUUGGUCAAUGGACGAGAGUCUGAACCAGCCAAGUAGCGUGAAGGAUGACUGCCCUAUGGGUUGUAAACUUCUUUUAUGAGGGAAUAAAGUGAGGGACGUGUCCCUUUUUGUAUGUACCUUAUGAAUAAGGAUCGGCUAACUCCGUGCCAGCAGCCGCGGUAAUACGGAGGAUCCGAGCGUUAUCCGGAUUUAUUGGGUUUAAAGGGAGCGUAGGUUGACGUAUAAGUCAGCUGUGAAAGUUUACGGCUCAACCGUGAAAUUGCAGUUGAUACUGUAUGUCUUGAGUGUACAAGAGGUGGGCGGAAUUCGUGGUGUAGCGGUGAAAUGCUUAGAUAUCACGAAGAACUCCAAUUGCGAAGGCAGCUCACUGGGGUACAACUGACACUGAGGCUCGAAAGUGUGGGUAUCAAACAGGAUUAGAUACCCUGGUAGUCCACACAGUAAACGAUGAAUACUCGCUGUUCGCGAUAUACAGUAAGCGGCCAAGCGAAAGCAUUAAGUAUUCCACCUGGGGAGUACGCCGGCAACGGUGAAACUCAAAGGAAUUGACGGGGGCCCGCACAAGCGGAGGAACAUGUGGUUUAAUUCGAUGAUACGCGAGGAACCUUACCCGGGCUUGAAUUGCAGAGGAACAUAGUUGAAAGAUUAUGGCCGCAAGGUCUCUGUGAAGGUGCUGCAUGGUUGUCGUCAGCUCGUGCCGUGAGGUGUCGGCUUAAGUGCCAUAACGAGCGCAACCCUUAUCAUUAGUUACUAACAGGUCAUGCUGAGGACUCUAGUGAGACUGCCGUCGUAAGAUGUGAGGAAGGUGGA